rnacentral:rRNA from 1 species
UACGUAGGGGGCAAGCGUUGUCCGGAUUUAUUGGGCGUAAAGAGCGUGUAGGCGGUUAGGUAGGUCCGUUGUGAAAACUCGAGGCUCAACCUCGAGACGCCGAUGGAAACCCCCUAACUAGAGUCCGGAAGAGGGUCGCGGAAUUCCCGGUGUAGAGGUGAAAUUCGUAGAUAUCGGGAGGAACACCAGUGGCGAAGGCGGCGACCUGGACAGAUAUUGACGCUGAGGUGCGAAAGCGUGGGGAGCAAACAGG